UGCCUUUAUGUGUUGCCCGUUCAUUUUUCUUCUAGAUGGAUGUGGUGUCAAAUAAGGCGCACAAAAACUCUUGUAAUGGCUUCAGCUCACAAAAUCCCAGUGAUUUUGUGUGAACUACUGUGACAAGGACAUCC